rnacentral:rRNA from 1 species
AACGAACGCUGGCGGCGUGGAUAAGACAUGCAAGUCGAACGCUGAUUAUGGGGUAGCAAUAUUCCAUGGUCGGAGUGGCGCAAGGGUGCGUAACACGUGGGUAAUUUGCCGUGAAGCCCGGAAUAACCCCGAGAAAUCGGAGCUAAUACCGGAUGUGACUCCUGGGGGGCGAUCCUCUGGGAUUCAAAGCUGGGGACCGGUAAGGCCUGGCACUUCUCGAUAAGCCCGCCGGCCUAUCAGCUAGUUGGUGAGGUAACGGCUCACCAAGGCUAAGACGGGUAGCUGGUCUGAGAGGACGACCAGCCACACUGGAACUGAGACACGGUCCAGACACCUACGGGUGGCAGCAGUCGAGAAUUUUUCACAAUGGGCGAAAGCCUGAUGGAGCGACGCCGC